CAACGGAUAUCUUGGCUCCCGUAACGAUGAAGAACGCAGCGAAAUGCGAUACGUAGUGUGAAUUGCAGAAUUCCGUGAACCAUCGAAUCUUUGAACGCAAAUUGCGCUCGAGGCUUCGGCCAAGAGCAUGUCUGC
rnacentral:rRNA from 1 species